AAACUUGACAGAAAAUCCGAAGUUAACAUUGAGUCCUGUUUGUAUUCCUAAACGUCAUAAUGCUGCUGAAGCAAAAGUUGGACGGCUGGCAGAAUCAUUACCUGAUUUAUGGUCUCACAUUGAUAAUCUAGGUACAGAGGACUAUCACCCUCUAAGCCAUUCACUGGACUUGAAUUCCGAAUCCAUGGAGUGGAAAUUGCACGGCAAGAAUGAGUCACACUUUACAAAUUCAGAUAAAGGCAACGAAAAUAAGUCAUUGGAGGAUUAUUCCAAUAAGGAAGAUACUCAACAUUUGGAG
rnacentral:misc_RNA from 1 species